rnacentral:lncRNA from 1 species
AAAAAGAUGCAGUAAUCUUGGAGGUUUCCAGACUGUGUUAUUGAGGGCUACCAUUUCCCUCUCCAGUUUCAUUUGGAAACACUCCGCUUUUGGUUAUUUCACAAAUUAGUCUUUAUUCAAGCUUUCUAAAGAUCUGUGAGCUAGACCCUAGGAAAUUAUCUCAUUGAUUUUCCAUCUAAUCUAUGUUUCGACCACUGAACUAUCUUGAUCUGAGGAACAAUAAAAUAGUGACUAGUUAGAUCCUAACAGGUUAUUUGGUUCCUCACUGUUUAUUUGAAAAGCACCUCUAAAUGUUUAAAAAAUCAAUGUUUCAUCUUAAUAAGGUUAACAAUCCCUUCUUAACUUCCCCUUUAAUUUUUCUCCCCUCUCUUUCAUCUUAAAGUUAUGUGCAUUACUGUUUUAAGCAAAAAAUAAUGGGGAUUGCUCUACAUUUUGCCAUGAGAACAAGUGGAUUGCAAGUAACUGAGGAAUUAAUUUCUUUCAUGUUGUAACAACCUUU